rnacentral:lncRNA from 1 species
GAUCUAGAAAUAGCCAUUGUUAAAAAAAUUAAAAAAAAAUCCCAAUAUGUCUAGGCUUUCAUUGUCUAGGAUAUCCUUGCACCAAGAUACACUGUUAGGCUACAAAUUUAUGCUGGUGCAAUGCAUGCAGUAGCCCAAAUUUCAGAGGAGACUAGAGUUUGUGGCCAGACAUAGAAAUUACACUUUCCCCAUCUCUUCCUCUGCCAACUCUUUGGUCUCGUGGCUGCAUUCAAAAAAUUACCUCUAUCCGGGAUGGUCAUUGUGAGUACUACAGGCACUGAGGUCCUCUUCUGUGACACCUCUGCCCAUGUCCCUGAGGGCCUGGAACUGGGCUGAUUGUUCUCCAAAUCGCUGCGUCUUUCUGAAAGGCUUUAGUGUCUCAAAAAUUCCCUGUUGCUGACCUUCUCAGAUCUCUCAGCUGGCAGUUUUCCACAACGCCAUCAAGCUGGAUGCUGUAACCUUUUAAAAAACAUUGUUAACGAGCCUGACCCGCUGACCAGUGGAUCAGUGGUCUCCAAAAUGCGUGGCCAGCUGGCAUUAGGGGGUUUCUCAACCCCGUGGUAUGAGGAAGGACAAGGUGUUCCUGGAGCUGGCUGCUUGCUUGUGAGUCGCUGCUUAAAAAUAAUACUUCUGUAACAUUUAUAAAGUUUGUGUGAUUGUACUGCUGAGGAAAGCUUUCCAUGAACGGGGAAGCCAAUGCCAAAAAUGGUGUAAGCAAGCAAUAGAGUCGAAUCAUGUGAGAAAAAAUUAAAUUUUCAUGUAUCAUAAAUGAAAUAUACAUUAGGGACUCUCCAGUGACCUCCAGAUUCUGUAAGUUUUGGAUUGGAGCUAAAGACUUAAAUCAUGUAGCCACAAUGGCCUGUAACACAUAUAUGGAGGGUAAUGCCUUGCUAUGGGCCUGCAACAGUAAACAAAUGGAACUAGUUUUGGAGAACUGCUAUUGACAGUAAAAUUCUAAUUUUGCUCCAGCUCCCAGAACAGAUGUACCUCGGAGUCCAUAGACUGCAAUACUUAACUGCAGCUACUCAGCUGUGACCUUCAGCCUCAGGCUCACUGCAAUAAAAUUUUCAUGCAACCAUAUGGAAGAAUAUUU